CGCACGGGUGAGUAACACGUAUCCAACCUGCCGUCUACUCUUGGACAGCCUUCUGAAAGGAAGAUUAAUACAAGAUGGCAUCAUGAGUCCGCAUGUUCACAUGAUUAAAGGUAUUCCGGUAGACGAUGGGGAUGCGUUCCAUUAGUUUGUUGGCGGGGUAACGGCCCACCAAGACUACGAUGGAUAGGGGUUCUGAGAGGAGGUCCCCCACAUUGGAACUGAGACACGGUCCAA
rnacentral:rRNA from 1 species